CUACGGGGGGCAGCAGUGGGGAAUAUUGCACAAUGGGCGCAAGCCUGAUGCAGCCAUGCCGCGUGUAUGAAGAAGGCCUUCGGGUUGUAAAGUACUUUCAGCGGGGAGGAAGGGAGUAAAGUUAAUACCUUUGCUCAUUGACGUUACCCGCAGAAGAAGCACCGGCUAACUCCGUGCCAGCAGCCGCGGUAAUACGGAGGGUGCAAGCGUUAAUCGGAAUUACUGGGCGUAAAGCGCACGCAGGCGGUUUGUUAAGUCAGAUGUGAAAUCCCCGGGCUCAACCUGGGAACCGCAUCUGAUACUGGCAAGCGUGAGUCUCGUAGAGGGGGGUAGAAUUCCAGGUGUAGCGGUGAAAUGCGUAGAGAUCUGGAGGAAUACCGGUGGCGAAGGCGGCCCCCUGGACGAAGACUGACGCUCAGGUGCGAAAGCGUGGGGAGCAAACAGGAUUAGAUACCCUAGUAGUC
rnacentral:rRNA from 1 species